rnacentral:sRNA from 1 species
UUUCCUUGUUAGUAGAUACAAAGACAAAGACUCAUAUAGAUUUCGGCUACACCAUCAAUGCUUUGAGAAGCAAGAAGAAGCUUGGUUAGUGUUUUGGAGUGAAAUAUGACAAGAUGUCAUGUGUAUGAGUGAA